GCUCAGACUUCCCCCUGGUCUUUGGGUGUCUAAUGCACUGACAUCAACAGGCUAAGAAAGGAAUAAGAGUUUUCAGACGGUGGCUGAUCCAGAUUAUUAAAGGGAAAUCGGAUUGCUUCUCCACGAUGGAGGCAGCUGGUCAUCACCACUUGGCCCAAGACACUGGUAUGUUUCUGGCUCCAGUGCUACCAAGGCAAGACACUGGAGACCUUUGUCAUCUGCCCACCAGAAGGAAUUCCAUUUCUAAAGUUCCACUGAGAUCGGAGCAGUGGCAGAAGCAAGUGGAAGUGAGAAGGGGCUGGAGGACGUCUGGGAGAGCAAAACCAAAUGUACCCCGCGGGAGGCCUGGCAGGACAGGCCUUCCAUCAUCCGGUUUCCAUUAAUUCUUGGAACCAGAGCCUCCCUGGCACACGGGCAAGGAAGACAAGGUUGAUUUUAUGCUCAAAAAAUUGGCUUAGGGCUGGUGAAAUGUCUCAGUGGGUCAAGGCGGGAAAAGGCACUUGUGGUCAAGUUUCAUGGCCUGAGUUUGAUCUCUGGGACCAAACGGUGUAAAGAUGGAAUUGACUCCUAAAUGUCCUCAAGACAUACGUGCUGUGGCAUGUUCACGUGCGCAAACACACACACACACAUACACACACACACAGAAACACCCACACAGAGAAACACACACAGAUACAAACAGAAAUAGACACACAGACACACACACAACACACACAGAAACA